rnacentral:rRNA from 1 species
GCUUUGUUUGCGCAGGAUAGGUGGGAGGCGUUGAAGAUUUUCUUGCGGGGAGAUUGGAGCCGUUGGUGAGAUACCACUCUAACAAUGCUAGGAUUCUAACCCUAUACCGUUAUCCGGUUAGGGGACAGUUUCAGGUGGUCAGUUUGACUGGGGCGGUCGCCUCCCAAAAGGUAACGGAGGCGUGCAAAGGUUUCCUCAGGCUGGUCGGAAAUCAGUCGUAGAGUGUAAAGGCAUAAGGAAGCUUGAUUGUGAGACCUACAAGUCGAACAAAGACGAAAGUCGGCCUUAGUGAUCCGACGGUUCCGAGUGGAAGGGCCGUCGCUCAACGGAUAAAAGUUACUCUAGGGAUAACAGGCUGAA